UUCUAGUGACUUGCCUUGGAGA
rnacentral:miRNA from 1 species